GCGGGUGUCGUAUAGUGGCUUAUUAUGUCAGCCUUCCAAGCUGAAGAUGGCAGUUCGAUUCUGCUCACCCGCU
rnacentral:tRNA from 1 species